UACGGAGGGGGCUAGCGUUGUUCGGAAUUACUGGGCGUAAAGCGCACGUAGGCGGCUUUGUAAGUUAGAGGUGAAAGCCCAGGGCUUAACCCUGGAAUUGCCUUUAAGACUGCAUCGCUAGAAUCGUGGAGAGGUGAGUGGAAUUCCGAGUGUAGAGGUGAAAUUCGUAGAUAUUCGGAAGAACACCAGUGGCGAAGGCGACUCACUGGACACGUAUUGACGCUGAGGUGCGAAAGCUAGGGGAGCAAACAGG
rnacentral:rRNA from 1 species